rnacentral:lncRNA from 1 species
GCUGUAUGUUUAUUCCUCUAAUAAAACAUCUAUUGAUAUAAAGAAUAUUAAGCAAUAAGAAUUGACAUCACAUCUUUUAUGGCUUUUAAUGAACUUCUUAUGAUUUAAAUGGUUCAUCAGUGAUGACAAUCCUUGGGUGAGGCCACGAGGAAGUCACUUCUAGAAUGUCCACUAGUAUUUGGUGGGGAAGGAAGGAAGAAAAAAACUAAAGCCACGAGGAAAUUACAAAUGUGGGAGCUUGAGGGCGGCGGUCUUUUCCGUGUUAGUAUCAUAGGGUCGUCGUGGCCCCCCAGGAUCCCCAUGCAUUGUUUCAGAUUCUUUCGCCCAUAAACAGUACAUGCCUUUCUUCAUCCUUUUAGCUGCUUGUCAUUGACGCUGCCACCGGCCAGACAUCCUAAACUUUCUCACUGAGGCUGGGGCUCCGGAGUCCCAGGGGUUCUAAUCAUUUUCCCAACUGCGUCAUAGGUGUCUGUCAACGUGCUGGGGCGCAUGAGCUGCCAAGAAGUCAAAAAACUUUCUCCUUACCCUUGGCAUCUGCCGUCAGUCUAAACACUGAGUUAGGAAUCUUUGCAGCAGAGACAGCACUUUUCGUCCUGGGCUCUAUCCCCACCACACCCACCCUGCCCACACCCUCGGAACCACCUUUCCGCAGACCCCCUCCUUGACUCCAGUUAGCCAGGCCAGGCAGGUUCUGGGUACGCCUAAAGGCUUUGCUGCCGCCUCCGCCCGUGCCGUGUUCCCUGCGUGAGCGCUGGAUUAUUCCAGUCUUUUGAGCAUGGCAGAUUUCCACCGGAUGACAUCAUGGGAGCCGAGCGAGUGCCGGCUCCGAGAGGGGGACGGAGAAAGGGAGGGGGAGGAGAGGAGGGGAGAGGGCUGGGAAACCGAGCCAGAGCCGGGCUGCCUGCCAUCCGGCUGCACGUCCUCAAGCUGGGGAGGAGCGCUCCGCCCGCUACUGACAAAGGAUGGGAGGAUGCCUGCGCCCCGGGAUGCUCGAUGCGCGCAGCCCGGCGGCCGCCUGAGCGACUUCGCCCUCCGCCGCUCUGCAGGCCAUUUCUCAGCUGUGUGAGUCACCAGCGGCAGUUCUCGUUCAGCAGCAUUUGGAAGGACACAUAG